CGGUUUGUUUUCACCGAGAGGAAGAAGCGCUGCGGACAUUUACCGCCGCAGCACCGAUUUUUAAAAAACGGUUGUAACAGUUGUUUUAUAUCUGGUUGCCUCUCACACACAGCGGCUUUCUUAGCUCGCCAUGGCUCUGUGCGGGGGUGUUGGAGCCAUGGCUUUGCCCAGCGAGCUUAUCGUCCAUAUAUUCUCCUUUCUGUCCGACCGAGACAAGCUCCGGGCCUCGGCCGUGUGCUCCCGGUGGAGGGAGUGUCUCUUCUACCCCGCUCUGUGGACCGAGCUGAAACUGCGGAUAGGUGGUGGUUGUAACAACGGCUCCGGCUCCUCCGAGGAGACCUCGAGACUGGAGUUCCUCAUGCGGAAAUUCGGUUCUUUCGUGCGGGAGCUGCAGCUGGAACUCGCCCCAGUGGAGGGUUAUCUCAGCCCGCUGAACAACGACCCGUCCUCCCCCCGGAUGGACCAGCCUCCCGGUGCAGACAGCGACCCGCAGCUCUCCGAGCGAUGGAGAGACGCCAUGGCCACCUACUUGGACCAGGUGUUGUGUGUGUUUACCAGCAUUCGCAACAACAGGAACCUGCAGAAGUUGAGCCUGUAUGGAGACACCUGUAUCCUCCAGCAAAAGGGACUAUUGGACAGCUCCAACCUGCACCAGAUUCACCAGGGGGACAAAAAGAUCAACGAAAUCCAGCAGUUGUUCAUGGAGUUGUUGUCCAACAGCAGGCAGCUGAGGUGGUUGUCCUGUAGUUUCAUGCUGGGUCUGGUGACUCCCUGCUCCUUAGCCUGUCUGUCAAAUCCUUCAGCUGAGACCCUGCAACACCUCAGUUUACUGGACCACCAGCUGGGUCCCCUCAUCUCACCAUCAGAGUUGGAUCGUCUCUCUAAUCUUCAUUCUCUGGCUCUGGAUUUCUCUGAUCUGACUUCUGAGCUUUGUGGUCUGCUGGCAUCUCCACGCCGUACUCCACUGCAUCGCCUUUCCCUGCUGCUGAACGGCGCCGCCCUGGAGUUCAAACCAUUAGAAGGGACAGCUACAGAGGAUGACUGGAAGGCACUGGUCCGUGUGAGUGCCAACCUGCGAGUGUACAUCAUGACCCUGGAGGUCGACAGCUCAGAGCUCCUCAGGGUCCUAAAGCCCAGCCUUCCUCUGGAGCGCCUCCAUCUUGACAGUUACAGCACACUGGUGACCGACGCCACCUUGGAGCUCAUCUCUCAGCAAUACAACAAAACGCUGACUCACUUCCUGCUCCUGAGGGAUGACCCCGACUUCCCCGACCUCAGUGUCAAUCGCAACGAAGAUCCGUUGGUCCUCUUGGCAUGGAGAUGUACUCAGCUGGCUGUACUGGUGAUACAUGGUUACACUGUGUGGUCCCAUAACUUGGUGGCCAUCUCUCGACUGCGAGGCUCCAGUCUCCGUGUCCUGACCGUGUCUGAGGAGAGCAUCGACUUCGACCCGGACCAGUCUGUGUACAUGGAGGGUGACCCAGUCCACAACCUGGUCAAGGAGGUGUCGCUGGGCCUCGGCCGUGUCUGGCACCCUUGCUUGGAUUCCACCAUGAUGUUGUCUGAACCCACCCAGCACUUCCACCGCGAGCUCCACGCCUUCAGCAUGGGCAUGUAGGCAGGGACGGCCGACCCAACACAUCACGGCCUAAACUGUGUCAAGACCAGGCCAGACCAACCAGGUCCAUGUCAGCUCAUACCUCUGAAUGGGCCAAAAGCAGACUCAAAUCUUUUGAUUCUGGUCAGCCAGCCCAGCGACAGCAGCGGUGACGGCGGGCUCACUCUUGGUCUCUGUGAGACUGGCUAGACGGCCCCAGUUUUAUUGUGGUACGAAUGUUGUGCAUUUGUUUAAAAUCAGGACAGUUUGCAAUAACAGCAGUCGUACUAGUGGCCACAAAGGGGCACGAGCAGUGCUGACAGCGCCCGGCUGCGUCUUUAGAAAACCAUAGAGGAAGAGAUAUAAACUAUAUGAAUAGAUAUAUAAACUCACACAGUGCAUAUUUGUAUAGGUAUCAACAAUUCAUUACCGUAGUAUUCUCUUAUGCAACACAUGUCCGGGUUCAAUUUAUGAACAUGAAGUAUAUUAUGAAAUCACACAGACUUUGUAAAUCAGAAGCGAUGUUGUUUUGUGUGUUUUGCAAAAAUGGUUUUACCAUCCUUAAUGUUGAACAUUCUGAGCGUUACGUUCCUGUGUGAUUGUGUUUGUUAAAGUGAGCACAUAGCAGUGGGUCUUACCUUCUUUUCUGUUAGCAAGGAACAAGACUUCACCCAAAACACAGCUGGACCAGAUUUCAAAUACAUUUGAGUACUUUUCUAAAACGUUCAAUCCGAUCUGCUCUGAAGUUUUUAACUCAACUAAAUUAUAUCUACAUGUUUCAAACAGGUUCAAAGAGUUUCCUCCAGUGUCAAUACAAAACUGCUUUUUAAUUGAGGACUUUUCUAAAUUUAAGACUCAAAUCAUAUGAACCUUUUUGAUUUGAAACCUUCCCAGCAGUUUUUUGGUCUAGUCUGCAGGAAAAAGAGUCCUCUUACUUGGUGUGGAACCGAGCUCACCAGCCGAGAGGACAGAUUUUAUCAUUGAGAACAGUGUUGAUCCAUGUUGGUUCUGUUGCGGAGAAAAAGGGAGGGUUCACGCAAGCCUCCAUGUAAAACCUCUUAACUGACAGAUGGCGUACACUUUGAGGGGGUCAACCUGCCGAAUGUUGAUUUGAAUCAGUGUUGAAUGAAUGCUUCUCUUCUUUUUAGUCAGUGAAUAAAAGCAUCAAAAAAGCAU